AGAUUUUCUUCUUUCUAUGAUGGAAAACAAGUCUCUUCCUUCCGGAGGUGAUGGAAGCGGUUUCAGCCCUUCACUAUUUUUUUAUCUCAAUCUCCCCUCAACUAAGACACAAUUAGACUUUUAAAAACUGAACUUUAUGGAGGAAUAAGCACCUCACCAUGUCUCCAAUAGAAAUUCCUUUUGGUCCUCAAUUGAUAAGUACCAUCUUUCUCCUCUCCACUAAGUCGAGUGGCUUUCAGUCCUUGCCCAUUUUUUUCUAGUUGGGCGUUAACUUU
rnacentral:lncRNA from 1 species